CCUACGGGCGGCAGCAGUGGGGAAUAUUGGACAAUGGGGGCAACCCUGAUCCAGCCAUGCCGCGUGUGUGAAGAAGGCCCUCGGGUUGUAAAGCACUUUCAGUGAGGAAGAACGCCUGGUGGUUAAUACCCAUCAGGAAAGACAUCACUCACAGAAGAAGCACCGGCUAACUCCGUGCCAGCAGCCGCGGUAAUACGGAGGGUGCGAGCGUUAAUCGGAAUUACUGGGCGUAAAGCGCGCGUAGGUGGCUUGAUAAGCCGGUUGUGAAAGCCCCGGGCUCAACCUGGGAACGGCAUCCGGAACUGUCAAGCUAGAGUGCAGGAGAGGAAGGUGGAAUUCCCGGUGUAGCGGUGAAAUGCGUAGAGAUCGCGAGGAAUACCAGUGGCGAAGGCGGCCUUCUGGACUGACACUGACGCUGAGGUGCGAAAGCGUGGGUAGCAAACAGGAUUAGAUACCCGGGUAGUC
rnacentral:rRNA from 1 species